rnacentral:rRNA from 1 species
UGGCACCUCGAUGUCGGCUCAUCACAUCCUGGGGCUGAAGUAGGUCCCAAGGGUAUGGCUGUUCGCCAUUUAAAGUGGUACGCGAGCUGGGUUUAGAACGUCGUGAGACAGUUCGGUCCCUAUCUGCCGUGGGCGCUGGAGAAUUGAGGGGGGCUGCUCCUAGUACGAGAGGACCGGAGUGGACGCAUCACUGGUGUUCGGGUUGUCAUGCCAAUGGCACUGCCCGGUAGCUAAAUGCGGAAGAGAUAAGUGCUGAAAGCAUCUAAGCACGAAACUUGCCCCGAGAUGAGUUCUCCCUGACUCCUUGAGAGUCCUGAAGGAACGUUGAAGACGACGACGUUGAUAGGCCGGGUGUGUAAGCGCAGCGAUGCGUUGAGCUAACCGGUACUAAUGAACCGUGAGGCUUAACCUU